AUUAUUUAUAAGGGUUUAAUAUACUUUUGGUGUCUCAACUUUUUUAAAAAUUACAUUUCGGUGUUUGAACAAAAAUUUCUAACGACCGAGUAAGUGAACUUGUUAAAAACUUACAAGUUGGUUGUUAUUUCCGGUUUCGAUCCGGUAGCCCUUAAAAACGCAUGUUAUGUGGAUUAAUGAAGUUACACAUAGGCAAAUAUUAAUUAAAAUGUAUAUGACAUGGAAUUUAGGGAUUGGAGAAUUUUAAAAAGACUAAAGAGCCCUUAUAACGGAGAAGCAUACAACGAACUUCAUGGACAGAACGAAAUCCGGGACGAAAGUUUAUGACAUGCGAGAUGGGAGAUUGCAGCUAUUUUAGAUGGAACGAUGACGACAUGUGCGAAAGAGCUAAUCGAAUUAUACCUGGGUUAUUAAGAAAGAUUGGAAGUUUAGAAGCUGAACUUGCAAGAAGCUGGAAAAGAGAGAAAUUCUUAUGGGCGUGGGCAAUAUUUUCAAUUGUAAUUCUCAUCUUUAAGUGAAUUGAUUGUUGUAAUUUGAUGUAAAAUCUGUAUUGUUUGGUAGUUUUUGAGAUUUGUAAAAUGGAAAGCACUUUGUAGAUUUUUGGGUUAAUGAAA